rnacentral:rRNA from 1 species
AUACGGAGGGUGCAAGCGUUAAUCGGAAUUACUGGGCGUAAAGCGUACGUAGGCGGUUAUUUAAGUAAGAUGUGAAAGCCCCGGGCUUAACUUGGGAACUGCAUUUGAAACUGGGUAACUAGAGUUUAGUAGAGGGGAGUGGAAUUUCAGGUGUAGCGGUGAAAUGCGUAGAGAUCUGAAGGAACACCAGUGGCGAAGGCGACUCCCUGGACUAAAACUGACGCUGAGGUACGAAAGCGUGGGUAGCAAACAGGAUUAGAAACCCCAGUAGUCC